rnacentral:ncRNA from 7 species
GCUAUCAUCAUUAUUUUCCUAUCAUUGUGGCUAACACAGUCAGAUAGUUCGUUAAUGUUACGACCGGUCUCUGACCGGUUUUUUU